CCCAGCUUACUGGCUCUGGGGGAAUUAAUGGCCAUGUAUUGAGAAUACUCAGGCGGCAUAUGGAGAGGCCCCCGUGGGCAGAAACUGAAGCUUCCUGCCAACAGCCAGCAUCAUGUUGCCGGUCAUGUGAGUGACCCACUUGGGAGGCACAUCCUCCAGCCUAGCCUUCAGAUGAGACCACAGCCCCAGUCAGUUGAAACCACAACCUCACAGGAGACUCUGAGCCAGAACCACCCAACUGAGCUGCUCCCAGAUGACUGACCCACAAAAACUGUGAGCCUUCGGACUCAUUCUUCUGCUGAGACCAGCCAGAAAGCCUGAAACCUAAGCGAGAAAUGGAGAAACCAAGGCUCACAAAAGAACAAAAAAAGAAUUGUCCAAGGUCACCCAGGCGUCUGGACUCCCAUAUGUUGAGUUGAGCUCCUACUAUUUACAGGGCAGCUGCAGCCCGUGAAUUCUUCAGUACAUGAGUUAUUGUAUUACAGAAGAAUGAACUGAAGCAGAGAAAGAUUAGAUCAACUUUUUGGUUCGGAAGUGGCAAAACCGGGACCCAAACUCAGAUCUACCUGAUUGGAGAAGCCCAGCGAGGGCCACGGCACUGGAACGGAAGAGCAGAGGACACCCCAUUACCAGGAAUGAAGCCCCUUCCCUCCUGGGCCAUUGUGAACACAUACCAGUCAAGGUCUCUCCCAUGGCUCAAUCCCAGAAAUCAAAGGCAGGAGAGGAACUCGGGUCUUCUGGAUAUCUUCUUGUGGAUGGAUGGUCAACAUGUCUCUCUCGCAAAGACAGAUUACUUCUCAUGCUCUGGAUACGACUACACAGGCCACUUCAUUGUGUAAAAGUCUCCCAAGAAUCCUGGCGGACCCUCUGAGCAUCCUAACUUCCCCCAAACGAACCUCCCAAACAUAACAGCCAAGCAUUCCCUAA